rnacentral:pre_miRNA from 1 species
UAUUAAAAAUUUUAUCUAUUUAUAUUGUUAAAAAAUAAUGUGGUUGAUGAAAUAAAAGACAAUGAUACAUGACGUACUACGUGUACAUCAUACUGACAUACAAAAAUUAAUUUUUAACAGUAAAAAUGGAUGAAAUUAUUAACA